GCAUUCCCGUCCCCUGCGCCUGCGCAUUGAGUCGGUGUUAAUUUUGUUGAUAUGUCUGCCGCUGGGCUUUAAUAAUAAUUUCUGCAGGUUUUGGUGUCUCAGAGAGUGUCCCGCUCCGCGACCCGGCCUGAUGGAGAACCCCAGAGACCUGAUUCUCUCUCCAAAACUGCAGUUGAAAAUCAUACGAUAUAAGGUGGAGCGUCCGUCCAGGAAACGCCGGGACUCUUUCGGGAUGCUGGACGGCCUGGAGGAGGACCGGAGCAGCUGCAGCACCGAGUCAAGCGGUGGGAGCGGAGCAUCCAGCCCCGAGGACAGCGAGGAAGAAGAGUUAGGAGGAGGAGGAGGGGUGACUCAACUUACACCCACCUCCUCAUCCUUAACGCUCAUAAAGACCAACG
ensembl:lncRNA